rnacentral:rRNA from 1 species
UACGAGGGGAGCAAGCGUUGUUCGGAUUUACUGGGCGUAAAGGGCGCGUAGGCGGCGUGUCAAGUCACUUGUGAAAUCUCCGGGCUUAACUCGGAACGGUCAAGUGAUACUGUCGUGCUAGAGUACAGAAGGGGCAACUGGAAUUCUCGGUGUAGCGGUGAAAUGCGUAGAUAUCGGGAGGAACACCAGUGGCGAAGGCGACUACCUGGCCAGUUCUUGACGCUGAGGCGCGAAAGCUAGGGGAGCAAACGGG